UCUGGUGAUGAUGGCAAAGAGGUCACACCCGUUCCCAUGCCGAACACGGAAGUUAAGCUCUUUAGCGCCGAUGGUAGUUGGGGGUUUCCCCCUGUGAGAGUAGGACGUUGCCAGGC
rfam:Bacillus cibi strain DSM 16189 Contig16, whole genome shotgun sequence.